rnacentral:misc_RNA from 1 species
AGUGCGCUACCGCAGGAGGCAGCUAACCACGGUAGGGUCAGCGACUGGGGUGAAGUCGUAACAAGGUAGCCGUAGGGGAACCUGCGGCUGGAUCACCUCCUUUCUAAGGAAGCUGUGGAAUUGGAAGACGAUCGGUUUGCCGAUAUGACCUUUCCCGUGCUUUUUAGAACAUAGAUGGCGCCAGUCAGGCGACCAUCGAAACGCAAUACGCCGCAUAGGUGCUUGCACCAUGACGGUAUGGCGAGACCCGCCGUCCACGUUUCUCUUUCUCACAAGGAUACGAACCACGCCCGCUGGAUGUUACGCGUCGAGCGACCUUUAGGUGGUGCGUGCUACCAGGAUGGGCCCGUAGCUCAGGUGGUUAGAGCGCACGCCUGAUAAGCGUGAGGUCGGCAGUUCGAGUCUGCCCGGGCCCACCAUUUUGGUAGCUUGGCAGAUGAUCGAAAGGUUGGGGCUGUAGCUCAGCUGGGAGAGCACCUGCUUUGCAAGCAGGGGGUCAGCGGUUCGAUCCCGCUCAGCUCCACCAUUUUUUGGUUAGGACUGGGACGCCGGACGACCGGCGACGGCCUUUGGCGUUCACGAAGCUUCGCUUCGUUUGAGUGCCAAGAGCGAGGGAAGAGUAUCCUUGGGGAAACAAAGUUUGCAUCGUCUCGCAUGAGACUGAUGCCUGUUCUGCUUAAAUUGUGAAGAGAAGAUGUGUCUGGACGCCGAUCCAUUGGGUUGGCGUGUCCAUAAGCACGAUCGUUGUUGGGGUGUUCUUCGGAAGGCCCUUCUGACGGUCUUGCUGGAUUGAUGUUGCCUGACCGCGCAUCACCGGAUUGCAUCUCGAGAAGCUGGUCUUAAGAUUUGGCGCAAGUGAACCGCUCGGCGUGGUUCCAAUGAAGCGACCAAAUCGAACACGUCGAUGGCAUCAUGAGGUGGUCCGAUUGUAAAAGGUAAUCGGAUCUCUGGGCGGCUUUCGCGGCACAUUCAGUUGUGCCCGGAUGGCCAGGUUUGGCUGCCCUACGAGGCGACAAGCCGAGUGGGUAAGCUUAGCCAAACCCAGUAAAUGAUGAGCAUUGGCAAUGAGAACGAUCAAGUGUCAAAAGGGCAUUUGGUGGAUGCCUUGGCAUGCACAGGCGAUGAAGGACGUGAUACGCUGCGAUAAGCCGUGGGGAGCUGCGAAUGAGCUUUGAUCCAUGGAUCUCCGAAUGGGGCAACCCACCUUAGAUGCUUGGAAAAUUUAAGCCGUGCGAGAGCACGGCUUAGGUUUCCAAGCAUUGUUGAAAGGUAUCUUAUUCUGAAUACAUAGGGAUAAGAAGCGAACGCAGGGAACUGAAACAUCUAAGUACCUGCA